CUCUUGAGAAACGGUUGGAGGACUCUGAGUUCCAGCUGUCCAAUACAACAUCUGCAAGGAAUAGUCAGGAGAUAGAAUCUAAGAUCCUUGAAAUGGAGGAUAUAAUCAAUACGUUGAAGGAAAAGAAUUCUGAAGCAGAGAGAAGAAUUGAUACAGCAGAAACUGAGUGUAAAAUAUUGAAAGAAGCAAAUGUGGAACUUGACAAAGAG
rnacentral:misc_RNA from 1 species